AACAAGGCGUACCUGCGGACCUGCGGAAGGAUCAUUAACCUUUCAAAAAACAGGGUGCGUCGCGGCCCCCCUCCGGGGGCGGUUUGGGGUCCUCCCCUUCACGCGCGCACGACUGCAUCCUUACUUUACGAGCACCUUCUGUUCUCCCUCGGCGGGGCAACCUGCCGUUGGAACCGAAUAAACCCUUUUUUGCAUCCAGCAUUACCCGUUCCGAAACAAACAAUCGUUACAACUUUCAAC
rnacentral:misc_RNA from 1 species